AAUGUCCUCCUACAUCGAUCAAUUCUGCCCAUGUCUUCCUGAAUCUUGAAAACCUACACCACUCUCGUGUCCAUCCCUUCGCCGCAAUUCAAUUCGAUGAUUCCGGCGGCGUAAGCACUGGAUUGGCCCUCCUUGUUGCUUUACCGGCGUCGCUGAAGCUUCAGACAUAUUGAGUAGGAAAAAAAAAAAAGAAAAAAUGAUAAACGGAGAGGGGGCUGAGGAGAAGUCUGCGGUCGCCUCUCCGUGUGAUCGAGAAUCGGACGGCGGAGAUGAUUUAUCGCACUACUCAUCCUGCGGAGGCGAAUCGGAGUACGAAAGGUACUGUAGCGCAAGCUCCGCCAUGGGAACCCCUAAUUCUCGUAGCAAUUCGUUGAAAGAUGCUGAUGUUUGGUCGCUGAAAGGCUUCAAGCUCGGGGGCGAAAAUAGCGCGUUUAAGAGUUUCAGAGCUGAGAGAUUGUUAUCCGCGUAUCGAGAAUCUGAGAAGGGGAAUGGAUUCUGCCAUGGCAAUGAAAGAGCUGAGGGUUUUGCAGUGAGUAAGGUUGGGAUUAACAAUGGUGGAGUUUCAGGCGUGGGAAUUGAUGGAGAUGAGCAUAGGAAUUUAUCUGAUGAGAGUGAGGCUGAUGCUUCGUCGAGAUCGGAGCAUUCGGAAGGGGAGGACUCGAUGUUUGGCUGUGGCAGUGAUGAUGAGAGGAGGAGUGGUUUUUACUUUGGGGAGAAUGCAGGUUUUAAUGGUGGAAAUCGGCGGGACAAGGAUCGAUUAGCUAUGGAUUCAGCAGUGGCAUUCGGCGCUGAUGAUUGGGACGAUUUUGUUCAAGAAAAUGCACUUGAUUCGAUUGUUUGGGAUAGAAAUCAGGAUGACGUUCAUUCUAGCAUUCAAAGGAAUCGAUUAGCUAUGAAUUCGGAAGUGGCAUUUAGCAACGAUUCUGUUCAAGAAAAUGCACUUGAUUCAAUUGUUUGGGAUGACAUUGGUGUUGGGACGUCGAGUUUGAGUGCUCCCAGUUCAGUUUCUUGUGGACAUUUGAUCGGGAAAGGAAAUGAGAAUGAGCUUGGAAGUAGGCUGGAAGCUUGUAGUCGAGCUGGAGGUGUUGUUGAAUCAGCAGAGGGAGAUAUGAAUGCUCUAUCAUUGAGUCGUGCAAAAGAUGAAGUCAGUGACAUGGAUGAGUUGGCUGAGUAUAUUGGAUACAAUCUCGAUUCGGAUAUGUUUCAAAGAGACAAGAAUCGAGUGGGAAAGGAAGACACAACUAAGGCCGUGCCCGUACAUUGUGAUGCUGUGUUGAAAAACUCCGACUUUCUAGAGACAAGCAUGGUAUUGGAGCCAUUGUCUGAAUCUGUCGACAGUAACCAUCAUUUUGCACGGGGGAAGGGUAAGGAAACACAAGAAACCAGAUUAGCUGAAGACGAGAGAUUAAUUGCAUUAAAUGUUGCAACGAAGAAGAAUUCCGACUUUAAAUUUGAUCAAAUUGAAGAUCAUUUUGUCCCGGAUAAGUCACGGCGAUUCGGAUUGAAUGGAUUAUACGACGAAAUUGUUGAUGAUAUGCAAGAUAUACUGCUCGAUGCGGGUGAAUCCAUGGGGUCAAGGUUUGCUAGUAGGAUUCAUCAACCUCAAUUUCGUCGGGCACCAAGAGAUGGUGGUUCGAGUGCUUCUACGUCAGGUACAGAACACACAUACAAUUCGAUGCCGCAGCCUCGUAGAAUUGAUUGGAUCGAGGUUGUAGGAGCUAGACAAAAGAAAGGGGACGUGUCAUUCAGUGAGCGGCUGGUUGGAGUGCAGCGAUACACCGUGUAUCUGAUGAGAGUGUCGAACGGGACAGACCAUUGGGAGGUGGAGCGUCGUUACCGUGACUUUAACGCUCUGUAUUUCCGAUUGAAGAAACUGUUUACCGACCAUGGCUGGACUCUUCCUUCACCUUGGUCUGCUGUCGAAAAAGAAUCUAGAAAGAUCUUCGCUAAUGCUUCGCCCGGGGUUGUUGCAGAUAGGAGUGUCCUUAUCCAAGAGUGUUUGCAAUCCGUCAUUGACCCUAAAUUCUUGUCGGGUUGCCACAAUGCACUCCUCGAUUUCCUCUGUCCUUCAGAAGAGGCGCCUGAUUCACCGGCAACUAGAAUAAGUGCAAUUCAGUCUCCGACUGCUAACAAAGACUCACAAAUGGACAAAUUUUCCACCCUAGGAAAGACCAUAUCGCUUAUAGUUCACAUUCCAGCUCCGAAAUCGAUGAAACAGAUGCUGGAUGAGCAGCACUAUAGGUGUGCCGGAUGCCACAAGAAUUUCGAUGAUGGGAGAACAAGGGUCCGGGAAUUUGUUCAGGCGCUAGGAUGGGGCAAGCCCCGUCUUUGCGAGUACAGCGGCCAGUUAUUCUGCUCGUCAUGCCAUAACAAUGAUUAUGCUGUUUUGCCUGCUAGAGUUCUGCAUUAUUGGGAUUUUACUCGAUAUCCUGUGUCGCAGCUGGCUAAAUCGUUUCUAGAUUCUAUUAGUGAUAAGCCAAUGCUUUGUGUUAGCGCUGUCAAUCCUUUCCUGUUUUCGAAAGUCCCAACAUUGCAACAUGUGGCAAAUAUCAGGAAUAGAAUAAGAGCAAUGGUACCGUAUGUCCGAUGCCCAUUUCGUAGAUCCAUUUACAAAGGGCUGGGAUCUCGAAAAUAUAUUCUUGAAAGCAAUGAUUUUUUUGCUCUUCGAGACCUCAUCGAUUUAUCCAAAGGAGUAUUUUCAGCACUACCGGCAAUGGUUGAAUCUGUCUCAAGGAAGAUCCUGGAACAUAUAACCGAGCAGUGUCUUGUGUGCUACGAUUCCGGUAUUCCCUGUAAUGCUCGAAAAGACUGCGACAAUCCACUUUCUCUCAUUUUUCCAUUCCAGGCACGAGAGUGUAAAAAGUGUAGAUCUUGUAAGUCAAUUUUCCACAAGGAUUGCUUCAAGAAAAUAGCUAGUUGUCCUUGUGGUGCUCGUUUUAAGCAAGAGAAGGUGAAGCAAACUGUCGGCGAAGGAGCUCAUUGUAAUUCAAAUCAACUGGAACAAACAGUAGCAGAAUCUGACAACGGAAACGGGUUUCUUGCUGGAUUGUUCGCCAAGGUAAUGCCCGGAAGGUCUCAGGCUGUUAGGAAACAGGAGUUGAGGGGAUCUGAUAACAUUAUUUUAAUGGGUUCAUUACCAAACAUGACUCUCUGAACUCCCAUCAACUGGUGUAUAAGAAACACAAAUUGUCGAUACCAUCAUGAAGCCUGCCAAGGAUGUAAUGAUAUGUGUAGGAGCAGCUUUGGGAAGUUCUUACAAAGUUGAGAUUGUAGUCUUUGAUGGCGAGAAAGGGCACGAUUAUGAACCAGAACACGGUGUCUGUCAGCAUCACAGCUCCUGCAUUCAUCUUAACAGAAAUCGAGAAGCUAUUAGAAAUUAGAAUCCCCAUUCGCUCGCGGGCGUUAAAAGGUUGUAAGAAUGUUGGAGUCGUUUCGCUAACCUGAAAA